CACCGCGGUUAGACGAGAGGCCUAAGUUGAUAGUCUCCGGCGUAAAGAGUGGUUAGGGAGACCCUAAAACUAAAGCCGAAUAUUCUCACAGCUGUCAUACGCACCCGAGAAUAAGAAGUCCCACCACGAAAGUGGCUUUAACCCACCCGACCCCACGAAAGCUGUGGAA
rnacentral:rRNA from 1 species